rnacentral:rRNA from 1 species
GAUGAACGCUGGCGGCGUGCCUAAUGCAUGCAAGUCGAGCGAACAGACGAGGAGCUUGCUCCUCUGACGUUAGCGGCGGACGGGUGAGUAACACGUGGAUAACCUACCUAUAAGACUGGGAUAACUUCGGGAAACCGGAGCUAAUACCGGAUAAUAUAUUGAACCGCAUGGUUCAAUAGUGAAAGACGGUUUUGCUGUCACUUAUAGAUGGAUCCGCGCCGCAUUAGCUAGUUGGUAAGGUAACGGCUUACCAAGGCGACGAUGCGUAGCCGACCUGAGAGGGUGAUCGGCCACACUGGAACUGAGACACGGUCCAGACUCCUACGGGAGGCAGCAGUAGGGAAUCUUCCGCAAAGGGCGAAAGCCUGACGGAGCAACGCCGCGUGAGUGAUGAAGGUCUUCGGAUCGUAAAACUCUGUUAUUAGGGAAGAACAAAUGUGUAAGUAACUAUGCACGUCUUGACGGUACCUAAUCAGAAAGCCACGGCUAACUACGUG